GCCACUAUAGCUUAGUGGUAGAGCGUCAGCCUUGUAAGCUGAAGGUCCUGGGUUCAAUCCCCAGUGGUGGCUUCA
rnacentral:tRNA from 1 species